AUAGAUCACGUUUCUCCAUUAUUAUUAAACUUGAAAUAAUAUAUGAAACAUUUUUAGUGUAUGAAAAGCAUUUAACAGCAAACAUGCCCCUCAUAUUCAAAACCACCCUCCUGAUUUCUGUAAAAGAUAGACAGGAACAUGGGCAGGAUGUUUAUACAGCAAAAUGUAAACAUUUUCCCUGGCCUUCUUUAAAUAAAAAAUCAAGCUAAAGCCCCGUUAGAUCAGUUAAUACUCAAUCUGAUGCGUUAUGCCCGUCUGUUCGCAGCAUCUUGUGUAGAUGUUGGACGUUUUUACACAUGAAUAUUGUUUGUGUAAUGCAGUCAUAAUAUUUACGCAGAGACGCAGGAGGAGCGAGAUGGAGGUUCCGCCGAACUGUGAGCGCAGAAACUCGGACGGGGACUUGAGCUCGACUCCCGCAGGCAGUUUACCAUCGAAUGAUCCAGGAAUGAAGCUCCUCUCUGCUACUGUGGCCUUUCUAGGACGAUUCAGUCCCACACAGUGAGUGGGAGCUUGUUUGGUGCCCCACCCUGCAGCUCUGCACACCUCCCAGGGCCAGUCCAUCAUGGUCUGUCUGAUGCAGGGAGAGACAUCAAUAAUAAGAGCUGAAGCAGAAACCACAGUGAAGAACACAAAAGAGAGAGGGAGGGCAGAUGCAGGCCACAACCGGGUCUGCUGCAGGGGGAUUUUCCUGUGGCAAGCUGCUUCGGAAAAAGCAAUUAAGAAUUCCCAAACAGUACACCACAAUGGGAGAUAUCAUUUGUGCAAUGUGUGUUCCAUGUCUCUCGAAGUUUUUGUCUGGAAUGGGUUGGCUAUUUUUAAUCUGUGCACAACCGGACCCACCUACAGACAAACCACAAAUUGAAAGAAGGGGAGGGGGGUGAGUGGGCAUGGUAAUUGCCCAUUGUGGAGCUCAAACUCCUCUGUUCUGCCAUAAACAGCUUUGGUAGUUCACAACUUGAUACCCAUUGCUCUAGUCGGUUUGAAAUUACAGCAUAUCCUCAUUGUCUGUGGGAACCCAGAGCCAGGCAGUGGUUGGAAUCAGUCAGGAAUGCUUUGGGAUGGUAACUGGAUUCAGUUGUAAUGCCCAGCUCUCCACAGCGGAACACUAGGGUGGGAAAAAGGCCGAGAGCAUUUCCUGAGUGGAGGGGGGUCCCAGCGAAGCAUCACAUGCAUGGGCAUCAUGUGACAGUGAUCCUGCCAGGUUUUAGCCUAUGAUCCCAAGUGAAGAGAGGAGUGGAGAGGAGUACAGCUAUGGGGGAGGUGGAGUGGACGCUGUGGGCAGUGUCAGGGAAAGAAUGGAGAGGACAGGGAGAGGCUAGAAUGAAGACAAGAGGGGCACAAAAUACUGUAGCUGUUCUAAUGCAACCUGUGAAGGAAAGGCUAGUGAUGAAGUGAUUAAGCGGAGGGUGUAGAAAAUAGAGGUGUACUGUCUGUAUCUGUUUAUUUCACAAAACUAACAAAUUUAUUGUUAGAAAUGUUGCGCUAUGCUGCUUCAUUUUCAUAAGCAUAUCUAUAUGUACAAGUUUAGCAGCUUGCAAAAUAUACAAAAUAACAAAUGUUUUAACCAUAUACCUGAAAAAAAUGUAAUAAUAAAAACAUGAUUUUUAUCAGAACCCCACCUUCAAUUAUUUUUAAAAGUGUAAACUGAGUCUACAUAAAAUCUGUGUAACUGAUAAUGCUCUGGGUGAAAACAGAUAGAGGAAAUACAACAAGAGAUUUUAACAGCUUUAACAGCUGUUUUUCAUUUAAAAACUAGAGGUUGUAUAAUGGGAGGAAGUCCAGAUGAAAAUAACGUUGGACUGAAGUGUCUAUGAUUUAAACAUGUAUUUUGAAAGCUAUUGUCAGUUCGCAUGUAUGACGUCAAGUUGCACAAGAUGCCAAGCUUCAAUAUUCAAUUACCAUGAGGUAAAAAUAACACGUCAACAUCAGUCAAGCUUUGUCCUGCAUAGCACAACUACAAAUCAAUUUUGGAUGACCCUUGGUGAAUGUCUGAAUGGCAAACUUAAAAGUAUCUACUCCGUGUUAUUACAAUGUAGCCUAUUUGUUUAACUUUUGGCAAAUGUGCAUCAUGAAAAGUUACUCUGAUUGGGCUAGUAACACCUUUCUAUUUGCACUGUACAGAUGAAAAAUAUGAAUCUGAUGAUUAUGAUCAAAUAUUAGAAGUUAUAAGGAGAGUAUUUUUGCAUGAAUGUUAAAUGGAUUCAUGUCUGUGUGUUUGCAGAGUUAUGACUCUGGGAGGACAGGGUGUGAUGUUUGUGACAAAGUGUGGAAAAAUGAAAAAAUAUUUCUGCAAAAAUUUGCACACUGUUUAAAUCUGUCCAGAGCCCAUUAUCUGCUUCUAUUUGUGUUCACUUAUAUGCCUGAUAAAAAAUGUAUCUAAUAAAUUUCCUUCUGCAAAAGGAUGUCGAUUGCGCUUAAUUGAUUUAAAACACAAUUUUCAACAGUCAUUUCAACUGAGUAAUCUGGCAAAUAUAACUGUGAAGAAGACUGUCUGUAACAUUAACUGUAGGAGGAAUCCUGUUAUAAGAAUGUGUAUUUGUGUCCCUCCACCAAUCUGUGUCUGUUUUUCUGUGCGCAUGUAUAUCCAUGGCUGCAUCUUGUAACCGCGCAGUUUAAAACAUCAGUAACUGUGUUUCUGCCUUUGGUUUUGCAUGCCUGUAAUGGUUGUCUGUGGCUGCAAGUGUUCGUGUAUCAAUGCAUGUCAAAAUGUUGCUGACAAAAUAUUUGUGUGUGUGUGUGUGUGUGUGUGUGUGUGUGUGUGUGUGUACAGACUUGUGCUGGCAGCCAGACAUUGCUCCCUUUGGCUUGUGUAAAUGUUGUGACGAUCUAUAUAUCUAUAGUUGUCAAAGGGCUUUUUAUUUCCACCUGCUACUGGCCUCUUUCCGUUGGUCUGCUCUAUAACAAUGGUACUAGGAAAGCUGUGGAGUGCAAAGUGAUUGAUGUUGGUCUGUAUUUGGCCCUUCUUCAGAUUGGGGCCUGAAAGGAAGUGGCUAUCCCUCCCUUCCACCCCGACUACCCUGCAAUAAUAAAAAGGAUCAAGAGGGCAAAGUGCUGAUCAGGACUUUCUUAGACAUCCCAUUUUAACAAAGUGCCAAUUGGCCCAAAAGACAAGUUGACAGGCGCAUAUAAACAAGGUUUCAUGACUUAUAAAUCAGUUUGCCACUAGAAGGAACAGAAUGAAGUUAACUUAUGCCACACAACUGAGCCCAACUGUAUCCCCUCCAUCUGCAACCACCACCCUUUUUCUUGUCCUGUAUGAAAAGAGAUACAAGCUCAUCACAUCUACAUUCUUUCCAUUUUGCUGAAGAGCAGCGUGGCAGAGAAGGUAAUCUAUCACUCAAAUGAUCUGUCCUUCCCUCUCCCUGUUUCUAACUGUGUUUCUCUUUCUCCUUCCUCCAGACUGGAGUGGGCAGGCGUGCGGCUUUGGCCACAGGAAGCUGUGAAUUCUUUGGAGAAUGGAAGAUGUCUUAUAGGGAGACAUACUGGCCCCCCACCCACCCACUCACCACCCCAAAAUGACACCUGACCCCUUCAUGUGUUUAUAUCAGACCAUGGAAGUGAGAAAUAGUGAUGAGUCACUCUGGCUGUGUGUUUACACUCUGGAGUCACGCAAGGAAGGAAAUCAGCCACGGUCUGCUAAAAGUGGCGAGGUGAGAGAGAAUAGCUGCAGUCCCCCAGCGCCGCAGUGAUUUACCUCUGAGAGUCAGAAUUUAUUUCACGUCAUCUCGGCUACGAGGUCUUUUGACCAGCAGAAAACAGCAACAUUAGCAGCACAGUAGACUGUUGAUGAGGAAAAGGCAAUUCUGAUUGCAGCAAGGGUCACUGGCUACUUCAAGACAUAAAACAUACAAAUUUAAAUUCUGAAAAUCCUAUUAAACACACAGUGUUGAUCACAUCCGGUUGCUUUCUAUUAAAGGCAGAUAGAACACACAUAUCACAGUCUCAGAAUGUAAAACCUGUAUCUUCAAACUUCCCAUGAUUCUUCAACUAAGAAAAAACAUUUUCAGUUUGAUGAAUGCACAUUUCACUGUCAGUCAUUUUGAACUGUUUUCAUAAACUAUUUUCCUUAGCUACAAGGAGAAUAUCUGAUUGAUAAAUUUAAUAAAUAAAAAAAUUUAAAUCACCAGAACUGUUACACGGGUUUUCAAUAACAUAUUUAUGAUAUCAUAAGCACAAGUUUCAGAAUUUAUUUUAUUAUCAUUGAUAAAUUAUAUUGAUAACAAUAUUUAAAAGCUUGAAUAAUUAAAAUUUAAUUCACAAUGCAAAUUUCUGGUUAUGAUUUCCUGCAAAAGAAAAAUGUAAAAAAAAAAAAAAAGAAGUAAUCAAACAAUUGAAGGCCCUAACUAAACAUCUACCUAAGAAAUGAUUAUGCAGCACUUUAUUAUGCCAGUUUGAUAUUGUGUCUAUCACAGGUUGCUCAGUUUAGAAACAAAGUUUACAUAAUCAUCAUAGUGGUAUAUGUAUAAUUAUGAUUUUACUAUAUUUAAGUGAAAAGCAGAUUUCAUGAAAGCAAGCCAGUCAGAGUCACCGCUAAUGACUGCAGCGUGUGUGUUUGUGACAAAGAUAUACCAAAUAUACCAAAUAUACCAAAUACACAAGGGCGUCAUUUUGUGCUGAAAAGUGGUGGGGAUAUUUAAGGACUCAGAUUAGGGGUGCAUUAGGGGUAAUACACUUAGCUUACGAGACAUGACGAUGCACAAUAAUGGGGUCAUGAGAACAAGACAAGAAGAUAUUAAAAUAAAUAUUCAGUGGUGCGAUGUAUGAUUUUGGGGGUCUGGGCGUCCUCCCCCAGAAGAUUUUGAGCAUUUAACACUUCAUUUUCUGCAUUCUGGAGACAUUUUCCACACUAAUUUAUAGUUGAAUGGUUUAUUUAUGUAAACACAAAACACAAAAUUCUUGGACAAUGUACAUUUGUUUCUUAGAUAUUUACAUUGCAUUACAUGUUUUGUUAUUGUGCAAAUAAACCUUUCUCAAAUAAUUUCAUUUGUUUUUUAACAUUACUUUCAAAAAGUGGUGGAGACAUGUACACAGUGUCCCCAGUGACAGACACCUAUGCAAAAUCAUAAGUAAUUUUAUUGUCUUCGACUUUAAUAAAAGUGGCAAGUUAGAUCUCCCACUCUUAUUAAAGAGGUAGACAUGGUGCUUAUGUCUUUACACCGUUCACUUAAACUGCGUUGAUGUUACAUUUGUGCACCAGUUCAUAUUGACAACAGGUCACUGUAGAAUUUUUGGCCUCAAAAAUACAAUAUACCGAAGAGAAUUUGCUCAAAUGUGUUCAUGAUACAUGUGAAUUGUGCUUGAAACACACCAGACACGUAUUGCAUUGCACUGCACUCGGAAGGACUGUAUGUUCAAUGUACUGUAAGGUGUGUUUACAGUGGCUAAGACCAGUGUUUCAAACAUAGUGUCAUUGUUGUCCCCCGCACUGAGCAACUUAAGAUUUUGAGAUUGCACAACUGUUGUUUUCAAGAGACAGCUGUAGUUACUGCAGUUGUGCUCUGUAAAUACAAGUGACACUUUAUUUCUUUCCAUCAUUACAUUGGUGCAAGUAACUUUAUUGCAGACUGUAGCGAGUAUCCUGUUACCCACCCCCAUACACACCACCACAAUGAGAGAGUCAGCGGCUCUUAUUUUGGCUGAUCUCUCCUGAAUUGUAAGUCCUGUCAGGGGCUUUGAUUGAUAGUUGUGUUUAUCACCAUAUUAUUAAGUAAUCAGGCUUACCACAGCUGAGUCUGAAGCUCCUUAAUUCCAGCUAAAGCACAUGGCUACAUGCUAAUUAAAGGUUUGGCGAAAGUGUUUAUUUUUGUGAAAUUUUAAAAAAUAGUUGCCUGUGUUUUUAUGAGAGUGCGCUGAUUGUUGCAUUUGUGUCCUCUCUGGAACAUUUAGUACCACCCUUUAGUGUUGCAUCUUCAUCAGAGAGAUCACAGUUAUUAUAAAGGACAGUGGAGAGAAAAUCAUACCGCAUAAGCUGCAUGCAUAGUGUAAACAUCUUGCCUUUCAAUACGUAAUAAUAGACUGUUUUACCUUGCUGUAAAACCUGCUAAUGACAAAUAAGGUACAUGCAGUACAGUAUCUGCAUAUAUAACACGAGAGGGUCAAUCAGUCUAUGUUCUAUCUGUAUGAGCAGAGGUUUCCUCUCGCUUUGUUAAUAGAGCCUGUGGCAGGCUGCGUUUGUGUAUUCCUGAGGUAAACACAGUCAUGGCAAAGUGGACAUGCUGCUGAGUGUGUCCUGACUGGAGACAGAGAGCACUGUGGCACUGUACUGACUGAGGCACUGGCAGCUCUCUAGAGGUAGGGUUAAUGUGAUGAAUGGCCAUUUGGUAAUGGGCCAUGUAUAAGGGUGAAAUAGCUCUUUUAAAAGCCCAAGCUUGAGCCGUUGCCAUGGGCAACUUGAUUCAAGAAUCAAUCAGGUGACAGAUGUUUCAUGUUUGAUCAGUCAACUCUGUCCUACUCUCCCUUUCAACCAAACGAAGGAAGAAAUGCUUGAGUGACUGCAUGUGGCAAUGAAAUGAAAAUGUAAAUUCAGGCAGACAAAAACAUCAGCGAUGCCAUGUUAUUUAAAAAAUCUAAAAAAUAAAAAAAAUUAGGCCAAUUUAAGGAACAGUGUGCAUAAAGUGAUUGAUCCUUAAACAAUGUGAAAAAUGUGAUGAUGUUUUUUUUUCUUUUGUACUGUGAGCACUGUAGGUUCUCUCUUGUGUAUACAGCCACCAGACUGUAUGUGCUUGUUCACAUCACUCCAGUUAGCGAGGAUGGCGCUGUACUUAUCAGUGAGUACCUGCAGUGCUAAUAUCUACCCAUUGUUCAUUCAGAUUUGGGGAAUUUCUAUCCACUAAGUGAAAUACAUAAUGUUGAAAGUGGACAGUUUUUUAUAUCCAAUACAAAUACGUAGGCCGAUAUGUUAUUAAAAAGGUUUAAAGGUGUUUUAUGAGGGUGUUUUGUGCAAUAAUUGUUCCCAUAUUACCUAUUACAAUCAUACUGUAUCCAUUUCAUUGUUAUGUAUUGCAUGCUCUGUGUGUUUUCUUUUAAUAAAUACAUUUUCACCUUA